AGGCUGUCUUGGAUGGGGAAGAGAGCUCUGAACUGUGGCCACAGUGCAAGUGAAGGCAGGCAGGAGAGAGCCGGUUCAGCAGCUGGAGAUGAAGUUGGAGAUGUAUUUGGGCCAGGUUCUGCAGAAGCUGUGAGUGCAUGGAUUCCAUGCUGAAGACGCCAGGCUCCAGAGCCUCCCUGCAGCAGCAGAUGCCUGCCUUGUGGUACUUUCCUGAUGGUUGGAGGACUGAAUGUUCUGGAAGUGGGGCAGAGGAGGAAGAAGAACAGGAAUCUGUGCUUUGACAAGCUCUUUCUCCAGCAUGGAAAUUUAUUUGUUUACUCCUUGGCUGGGGCUUGAUCAUGUGACUUAUUCUGGAAGAUGAACAACAUGACAGAUAGAAGGAUUUGCAACGUGCUUGUGCUGCUAACAUCAUCAUGCACACGAUGGCUAUCACCUUCAUGCUUCCCCUCCAUUCUGGGUUCAAAAUAAACACACAAAGGUCAGACAAGAGCAGGCAAAGAACCCAUUCUAGCCAAGCUCAUAGCCUAAAGCAAAAUUGCUCAGUCAGCCCAGUCCAGAUCAGACAAUCCUUAACUCACCAAAGAUAAGUGAGGGAAAUUAGUGCUUACUUUUCUUAUGACACUGAGAUUUGUUGUGGUUUCUGUGAUGCACUAAGAGAUGACAGAAACCAAAUGCUCUCAUACCCACUCACCCUUUCAAUCUGCAGAAAACUCCCUAGUACAGAGAGGCCAAGCAUUUUUGUUUUUCUUUGUUAAAUGAGGAAACUGACUCAGAGAGAACUGACUUACUAAGCACAUGAAGCUAGGCAUAUAGAAUCCAGCAGUAAAAAGUUGAAUGUUCUUUCUCAUGAACAAUGAUGACUUUUCCAAAGGAGAUCUGGGACCUGAGGGAGACCCUGGGUUCUUGAGGGUAUAAAGAUAAACUUCUUCCACUUCAUAAUUUCACCAAAGGCCAAUUUGUCAGCAGGGCUAGAAGGCCUGAGCGACCUCCCAGGGACAGUUAAUGAUUGGCCUAUGGCUCACACCAUGACAUUUUCUAUGAUUUGGGUUAAUGCCCAAGUAUCACUGGGCAGAGAUAGAAGGCAGUUUGUCAUGUAUAAAUUUAACAGGCAAUAAUGUCGCUACUAAAUUGUGUAUCAUUCCUAACGAUGUUGUCAGCCCUUUAUCAGCCUAAUUUAUAUUGUCAACAUGAUGUAAUGGUCCCACCAGGCACAGGCCUUCAGAAAUACAAGAUCCACAUGUGAAAGACCAAAGUGAAUUUCCACCAGUUGUCACUCUGAAAAUCAAAUUAGGAUUGCUGAUUUCUACUUCCAAUAACCAGAGAGACUGUACAUAAAAUAUUGAGGAUGGGGCCUGACACACAGUAGGCAUGCAGCUGUUAUUAUUUCAUGCUAUCAUGCAGCUGAACUAGCUAGUGUUGGGAGUUCUGCCUUCAGAGUUCAGAGAAGUGGGAUGGGCUCCAGGAAUGUCGUUGGUAUCAUUCCCAGUUGUCUUUUGUUGACCUUGUUUCCUUUAAGAAAAGCACUGUAAGGUUUAUAGAGUGUCUUCACAUGCAGUAUUUAUACCUCCCUACAGUUCUGGAGGCUGUAGGAGAUGAGACAGGAGGUCACUUGGCACAGAGAAGGUGUUCAGUAAAGAAAAGCUCUCAUUCUCAGCACUCCAAGGUUAGGAAUUCCUAGCUCUCCUACCAUGCAAAUGGCAGCAUCACAACUGUUACCAUUUGACUAGUGGAUUCUUCUCUCAACCCAGAAAUAAUUACAAGGUAGAGAGUUAGAAGAGGACUGAGAAAUUUAUUACAGAGUGAAACCAAAAAGCCCCUGGGUUAUUGAACCUCAGGAGAGGGCCCUAACAGGUUGCCAAAGGGGUCCUUUGUCUAGGGGUUUUUAUACACAAAAGUGACCAUGUCCCAGCCAAGUUGAGAUCAAUCAGUGAGGCUACAAGCAGGAAAGUAUGACCUAGAAGUGGACCUCUAAGAACUUUGGGAAUGUAGCAAGCACACUUUUACAAGCACCAUUCAUUGUAACUUUUAUAAAGUUAGCAGAAUGAGCUGAGCAAAGACAUCCUUUAGAGAAAUAUAACUAUCUUUUUCCCAGGCAAGAAAAUCUCAGCAAUCCAAUGAGGCCUUUUUCUGGCGAGCCUCUGGUGCCCUGCUCUUGGCCAUUGACCCUUCACUGAAUCUUCUCUGACUGCCUGUCCUGUCUGAGGAACUCUUUUUGUCAAAACACUCUCCACACACCACUCACCUCAUGGGCCACUGUCACUCUGAGAAAUCCUGCCAUCUUCCCACAGGGUAUUUCCAACACAGCUCAUUUUCAACACCAUGUUUUAUAGAAACUGAUUGUUUAGAUUACCAUUGGGUUCCCCUUGUUAGGAAAGUAAUACCCAAACCUGAGAAAAUGCGACCUAGGCUCAGCUACACCUAUGGAAGGCUCGUGGUCCAUUCUCCCCAAGUCUCUUGUUAUUUCUGUGCUUCAUUCCCUGCUCUGAAUAUGUUCUUCAUCUGCUGGUGGAGGAGGAGUAUAGGGCUUUUGUUAUCUCCUGUUUCAACA